UAGGGAAUCUUCCGCAAUGGACGAAAGUCUGACGGAGCAACGCCGCGUGAGUGAAGAAGGAUUUCGGUUCGUAAAACUCUGUUGUUAGGGAAGAAAAAAUGUAUAGUAACUAUAUACAAAAGAGACGGUACCUAACCAGAAAGCCACGGCUAACUACGUGCCAGCAGCCGCGGUAAUACGUAGGUGGCAAGCGUUGUCCGGAAUUAUUGGGCGUAAAGCGCGCGCAGGUGGUUUAGAAAGUCUGAAGUGAAAGGCAGUGGCUCAACCAUUGUAGGCUUUGGAAACUGUUUAACUUGAGUGCAGAAGGGGAGAGUGGAAUUCCAUGUGUAGCGGUGAAAUGCGUAGAUAUAUGGAGGAACACCGGUGGCGAGAGCGGCUCUCUGGUCUGUAACUGACGCUGAGGCUCGAAAGCGUGGGGAGCGAACAGG
rnacentral:rRNA from 1 species